GCAUCCUCGCCAACAUCUGUUGUUGCCUGAAUUGUUAAUGUGAGCCAUUCUGACAGUAUUGACUAACCCCCGUUGGGUAUAAGAAGAGUCUCCAGAGGGCGUGAAGGACAUUGCCAUCCCCAAAUCCAGAGUCAUUUCCAAUGGCAGCCAAAAGAAAGAACCAACAACCUGCACGUUCCGAGCAGGAAGAAAGCCAAGCUCAGUUCCACAAAACAAGUGAGAAGGCAAUAUCUAUCUCGCGGAGAGAAAAGUAUUACUUAUAACAGCAUUAUUUACAUUAUUUACCAAGAAAUGGAAGCAUCCCAAGCAUCUAUCAAUUGAUGAAUGGAUAAAGAAGAUUCCACAGUAGACUAUUACUCAGCCAUAAAAAAGAAUAAAAUCUUACCAUUGACAAUGACAUGAAU